rnacentral:rRNA from 1 species
GGGGAAUAUUGCACAAUGGGGGAAACCCUGAUGCAGCGACGCCGCGUGGAGGAAGAAGGUCUUCGGAUUGUAAACUCCUGUUGUUGGGGAAGAUAAUGACGGUACUCAACAAGGAAGUGACGGCUAACUACGUGCCAGCAGCCGCGGUAAAACGUAGGUCACAAGCGUUGUCCGGAAUUACUGGGUGUAAAGGGAGCGCAGGCGGGAAGACAAGUUGGAAGUGAAAUCUAUGGGCUCAACCCAUAAACUGCUUUCAAAACUGUUUUUCUUGAGUAGUGCAGAGGUAGGCGGAAUUCCCGGUGUAGCGGUGGAAUGCGUAGAUAUCGGGAGGAACACCAGUGGCGAAGGCGGCCUACUGGGCACCAACUGACGCUGAGGCUCGAAAGUGUGGGUAGCAAACAGGAUUAGAUACCCUGGUAGUCCACACCGUAAACGAUGAUUACUAGGUGUUGGAGGAUUGACCCCUUCAGUGCCGCAGUUAACACAAUAAGUAAUCCACCUGGGGAGUACGACCGCAAGGUUGAAACUCAAAGGAAUUGACGGGGGCCCGCACAAGCAGUGGAGUAUGUGGUUUAAUUCGACGCAACGCGAAGAACCUUACCAAGUCUUGACAUCCUGCGACGCACAUAGAAAUAUGUGUUUCCUUCGGGACGCAGAGACAGGUGGUGCAUGGUUGUCGUCAGCUCGUGUCGUGAGAUGUUGGGUUAAGUCCCGCAACGAGCGCAACCCUUACUGUCAGUUACUACGCAAGAGGACUCUGGCAGGACUGCCGUUGACAAAACGGAGGAAGGUGGGGAUGACGUCAAAUCAUCAUGCCCUUUAUGACUUGGGCUACACACGUACUACAAUGGCGUUAAACAAAGAGAAGCAAGACCGCGAGGUGGAGCAAAACUCAGAAACAACGUCCCAGUUCGGACUGCAGGCUGCAACUCGCCUGCACGAAGUCGGAAUUGCUAGUAAUCGUGGAUCAGCAUGCCACGGUGAAUACGUUCCCG